UACGGAGGGAGCUAGCGUUAUUCGGAAUUACUGGGCGUAAAGCGCACGUAGGCGGCUUUGUAAGUAAGAGGUGAAAGCCUGGAGCUCAACUCCAGAAUUGCCUUUUAGACUGCAUCGCUAGAAUUGUGGAGAGGUAAGUGGAAUUCCGAGUGUAGAGGUGAAUUCGUAGAUAUUCGGAAGAACACCAGUGGGCGAAGGCGACUUACUGGACACAUAUUGACGCUGAGGUGCGAAAGCGUGGGGAGCAAACAGG
rnacentral:rRNA from 1 species